rnacentral:rRNA from 1 species
AGAGUUUGAUCCUGGCUCAGGAUGAACGUUGGCGGCAGGCUUAAUACAUGCAAGUUGAACGGUAACAUGUUGUAGCAAUACGAUGAUGACGAGUGGCGCACGGGUGCGUAACACGUGUGUAACCUACCUUAUACAGGAACAUAACGUUGAGAAAUCGGCGCUAACAUUCCAUAAUAUUAUUUGUAGGCAUCUAUGAAUAAUUAAAACUCCGGUGGUAUAAGAUGGGCACGCGUUCCAUUAGCUAGUUGGUAAGGUAACGGCUUACCAAGGCAACGAUGGAUAGGGGUUCUGAGAGGAUAAUCCCCCACACUGGAACUGAGACACGGUCCAGACUCCUACGGGAGGCAGCAGUAAGGAAUAUUGGGCAAUGGAGGCAACUCUGACCCAGCCAUGCCGCGUGCAGGAAGACGGCCCUAUGGGUUGUAAACUGCUUUUAAUAGGGAUUAAAGUCGACUACGUGUAGUUGUUUGCAAGUACCUACAGAAUAAGCAUCGGCUAACUCCGUGCCAGCAGCCGC